GUUAGGAAUAUUGGACAAUGGGCGCAAGCCUGAUCCAGCCAUGCCGCGUGAGUGAUGAAGGCCUUCGGGUUGUAAAGCUCUUUAGCCGAUGAUUAUAAUGACUGUAGUCGGAAAAUAAGCCCCGGCUAACUUCGUGCCAGCAGCCGCGGUAAUACGAAGGGGGCGAGCGUUAUUCGGAAUCACUGGGCGUAAAGCGUGCGUAGGCGGCUUUGCAAGUUGGGAGUGAAAGCCCAGGGCUCAACCCUGGAAUUGCUCUCAAAACUGCAAGGCUCGAAUUCGGGUGAGGAUAGCGGAAUUGUCAGUGUAGCAGUGAAAUGCGUAGAUAUUGACAGGAACACCAGUGGCGUAAGCGGCUAUCUGGACCGAUAUUGACGCUGAGGCACGAAAGCGUGGGGAUCAAACAGGAUUAGAUACCCGUGUAGUCC
rnacentral:rRNA from 1 species